GACAGAGGUGGCGAGCGUUGUUCGGAAUUACUGGGCUUAAAGGGCGGGUAGGCGUCCCGGUAAGUCGGAUGUGGAAUCUUUUUGCUUAACGAAAAAAUUGCAUCUGAAACUAUCGGGAUUGAGUCAGUGAGGGGAGGGCGGAAUUCCUGGUGUAGCGGUGAAAUGCGUAGAUAUCAGGAGGAAGGCCUGUGGCGAAGGCGGCCCUCUGGCACUGUACUGACGCUGAGGCGCGAAAGCGUGGGGAGCAAACAGG
rnacentral:rRNA from 1 species